GAUGAACGCUGGCGGCGUGCUUAACACAUGCAAGUCGAGCGAGAGAGUUCUUCGGAACAAUCUAGCGGCGGACGGGUGAGUAACACGUGGGCAACCUGCCUCAUAGAGGGGAAUAGCCUUCCGAAAGGAAGAUUAAUACCGCAUAACAUCGUUGAAGGGAAUCCUUCGAUGAUCACAGGAGCAAUCAGCUAUGAGAUGGGCCCGCGGCGCAUUAGCUAGUUGGUGAGGUAACGGCUCACCAAGGCGACGAUGCGUAGCCGACGCUGAGAGGGUGAUCGGCUACAUUGGGACUGAGACACGGCCCAGACUCCUACGGGAGGCAGCAGUGGGGAAUAUUGCACAAUGGGGGAAACCCUGAUGCAGCAACGCCGCGUGAGUGAUGACGGCCUUCGGGUUGUAAAGCUCUGUCUUUGGGGACGAUAAUGACGGUACCCAAGGAGGAAGUCACGGCUAACUACGUGCCAGCAGCCGCAGUAA
rnacentral:rRNA from 1 species